UACGAAGGGGGGCUAGCGUUGCUCGGAAUGACUGGGCGUAAAGGGCGCGUAGGCGGACGGCUUUGUCGGGCGUGAAAUUCCAGGGCUUAACCCUGGGGCUGCGUUCGAGACGGGUUGUCUAGAGUUUGGAAGAGGGUCGUGGAAUUCCCAGUGUAGAGGUGAAAUCGUAGAUAUUGGGAAGAACACCGGUGGCGAAGGCGGCGACCUGGUCCUUGACUGACGCUGAGGCGCGAAAGCGUGGGGAGCGAACAGG
rnacentral:rRNA from 1 species